rnacentral:rRNA from 1 species
UACGUGGGGUGCGAGCGUUGUCCGGAAUUAUUGGGCGUAAAGAGCUCGUAGGCGGUUUGUCGCGUCUGCUGUGAAAACUCGAGGCUCAACCUCGGGCUUGCAGUGGGUACGGGCAGACUAGAGUGCGGUAGGGGAGACUGGAAUUCCUGGUGUAGCGGUGGAAUGCGCAGAUAUCAGGAGGAACACCGAUGGCGAAGGCAGGUCUCUGGGCCGCAACUGACGCUGAGGAGCGAAAGCUAGGGGAGCAAACAGG